rnacentral:rRNA from 1 species
UACAGAGGUCUCAAGCGUUGUCCGGAUUUAUUGGGCGUAAAGAGCGUGUAGGCGGCCUGACAGGUCUGCUGUGAAAACUCGAGGCUCAACCUCGAGAUGUCGGCGGAAACCGUCUGGCUAGAGUCCGGAAGAGGAGAGUGGAAUUCCUGGUGUAGCGGUGAAAUGCGCAGAUAUCAGGAAGAACACCUAUGGCGAAGGCAGCUCUCUGGGACGGUACUGACGCUGAGACGCGAAAGCGUGGGGAGCGAACAGG